AACGCGAAGAACCUUACCUGGGCUUGAACCGCACAGGAUCAUCUUUGGAAACAGAGACUUCCCGCAAGGGACCUGUGUAGAGGUGCUGCAUGGCUGUCGUCAGCUCGUGCCGUGAGGUGUUGGGUUAAGUCCCGCAACGAGCGCAACCCUUACUCAUAGUUGCUACCCGCAAGGGAGAACUCUAUGAGGACUGCUCCGGAUAACGGAGAGGAAGGUGGGGAUGAGGUCAAGUCAGCAUGGCCUUUAUGUCCAGGGCUACACACGUGUUACAAUGCGCACCACAAAGCGUCGCAAACCCGCGAGGGGGAGCUAAUCGCAAAAAAGUGCGCUCAGUUCGGAUUGCAGUCUGCAACUCGACUGCAUGAAGCUGGAAUCGCUAGUAAUGGCGCAUCAGAACGGCGCCGUGAAUACGUUCCCGGGCCUUGUA
rnacentral:rRNA from 1 species